CCUACGGGGGGCAGCAGUGAGGAAUAUUGGACAAUGGAUGGAAAUCUGAUCCAGCCAUGCCGCGUGCAGGAAGACGGCCCUAUGGGUUGUAAACUGCUUUUAUAUGGGAGCAAUAAGGUCUACGCGUAGACCGAUGAGAGUACCAUAUGAAUAAGCAUCGGCUAACUCCGUGCCAGCAGCCGCGGUAAUACGGAGGAUGCGAGCGUUAUCCGGAUUUAUUGGGUUUAAAGGGUGCGUAGGCGGCCUUAUAAGUCAGCGGUGAAAUUUUGCAGCUUAACUGUAACAGUGCCGUUGAUACUGUAGGGCUAGGAUUUGGUUGCUGUGGGUGGAAUGUGUGGUGUAGCGGUGAAAUGCUUAGAUAUCACACAGAAUAUCGAUUGCGAAGGCAGCUCACAAAGCCAAGAUUGACGCUGAGGCACGAAAGUGUGGGGAUCAAACAGGCUUAGAUACCCUAGUAGUC
rnacentral:rRNA from 1 species